GCGCACCAUCCUUUUUCCUCAAGCAUGGGCGCGUGGACGGAGAAAUUUUUGGGAGCUCCGAAUCUCCAAAGCAGAUUUGCUUGCCGAUGUAAUCCCGCCUGCUCAGAAAUGAAGUUGGCUUUUGGUAAAGGAUGACCUGAACGCAGCUGUCUGAGGACAUGUUCCCAGUUGAGGGUGAAGGAAAAGAUUUAAACUGGCUGUGAUUCACACUGCAUCACUAAGUGAAAGGCAUGACCAUGACAGUAUGAUUGCUGUGACCAGUGAAAUGAAAGUGGCUUUGGAACAGGAUGCCCUGAGCAUGGUUGUCUAAGGACAUGGUUGCAGCUCCUGGUGCGUAGGUGUACACAAAGUGCAAGAUCUGCUGGUGAAACUCUUCCAAGGUCAGGUCUCGUCUGCGCAAGGAGUCCAGGUCACACAGAUCACAAGGAAACACGGCAUCGGGCGGAAUAACAAGCGCUGAGGCCCCUGCGUUCCCAAGACAGAUUCUCAAGAACAUGUAUUAAGAGCUUGAUUUUGCCCUUUGAAACAGAGGGUGAGCUAUUAGCGAAGUGCUUAAAUGUGAGAAGAAUGCUACAUUUGUUGUAAUGUUCAAACAUAUUUAUGAAAUAAAUGUGACUUCCACUUUG